GAAAUGCGAUACGUAAUGUGAAUUGCAGAAUUCAGUGAAUCAUCGAAUCUUUGAACGCACAUUGCGCCCGCCAGCAUUCUGGCGGGCAUGCCUGUCCGAGCGUCAUUUCAACCCAUCGAGCCCCCGGGCUUGCGUUGGGGUUCUGCGGCUGCCGCAGGCCCUGAAACCCAGUGGCGGUCUCGCUAGCAGCACCGAGCGCAGUAGCAGUAUUUCGCUUUGGUGGGGCGGCGGGUUCCGGCCGUAAAAAAUUUACAGUGGGCUUGCCCGCUGUAACUUUCCAGGUUGACCUCGGAUCAGGUAGGAAUACCCGCUGAACUUAA
rnacentral:misc_RNA from 1 species